rnacentral:tRNA from 1 species
AGCUUUAUAUUCAAUAUGAUAUGAAAUUGCAAAUUUCAAGGUGUGUAACAAAUAUACUAAGGCUU